CUCCUCGGUCCAAAAUAUUGUAUUUUAAUUACCUAGCGAACUAUUUUCUUGUUCUAUCUGGAACCAAGCAUUGUUAUGAAUAUUCGGCUUGGUCCAUACUAUUGCAUUUGUAACUAAACAAGCUUAAUGUAAUUUAGCAAUAUCUGGAAAUGAUAUGCCACCUCUAUCAUAUUUGUUUGUAGGAUCUUUUGGGAUAUUCUUUGUCUCUUAUUUGCCCAAAUAAAAUUAGAGAAUAAUUUUUGAUAUUGUAGAAAGUAUGCAUUAAUUGUAUUCCACCAUCCCAGCUAAGAAAU